rnacentral:tRNA from 1 species
CGCCGGGAUCGCCGGGCCGGGGCCGGCGAUCCGGUCGCCGGAGAUCUCACGACCGGCCGCCCUCCGCCGGCGGCCCGGCGC